UUGCAUUCUGGAAAGUGUCUUUGGUCGGUUUUCUGUUCUUUUCACUGUUUCAAUCGUGUGACUAUACACAUGUAUCCUCACAAUUAGUGGCGCUUACAAGAAUGGCAGGCCUACCUGUAGCUUUUCUUAUGUAGUUAAAUAAAACAACCCAGGGUCUCACACUUUACUUCCUUCCUAAUAUAAUAAGGCUGCUAUUGCCUGUUAAUACUUCACAUUGGUGAUGAGCUUUACACCAGUUAUAGUUCAAGGAUUAUCUUCUGCCUUUUUGAUAAACAUAAUUAUAUGUUAAUUUGCUAUAUUGUUUUCUUUCUUUUUUUUAUCAAACUACCAUAUAUGAUACACGAAGAAGCAUUUCCCUAAAGGCAUUAAUAGCGUUUUCACAUAGAAUUUGUUCUUUUUUUUGCUCCCUUAAUUAGAUGCUCAAGAAACCUGAUAAGCGUUAUGUUGAUUCAGACUUGGUGCUAGAUGUGUUAGCCCCCAUUUAUCCUUGACAAGUACCGUAUUCUCAAAUCUAUAUGGUUGGUUGUACUUCUUUUAUGUUGGAGCUACAGAUGCAUCUCGGUCAUUUACGGAAACUAAAAUCUGCAUCUUCAGCUCAUAGUUUGCCAAAAUUUCUUGAGAUUUAUUCAUAUUGUUCUUAGGUACUUCAAGUCAAACUUUCUUGAGAUUAAUUCAUGUUGUUCUUAGGUACUUCAAGUCAAACUAUACAUGCAAUUGAUGGGGCUACAUGAUAGUCACUUUAAUAUAUCUUCUUGGAAGCCGCUUAGUGUUUCCAUGAAUAAAUGUCGCUGGUCUGUUGCACGCCUUCAUUGUUUGGUGGGCUACUUCCUGCCUAAUGUGGUUGAAGAAUUUUUAGAGGCAUGGUUCAUCUUGCGUGCAGCUUUUAGUUUGAGUUUCUAUUGACACAUUACAUUUCCUUUUCCUGUAGACCUCUCCUUUUUCAUUUUUUAUAGCUGGGUGUAAUAGCAAGUCGUCUAUAAUCAUUUUGUUUAACUACAAUCCGAUGCAAAAAACUUCUGUUUAGUCCUCAUAGUUCAUCCAUAAUAUGUUUGCUUUCAAAGCAAAGAAAUCGGGGGUCCAGGUUCUGAUCAUGCUCCGAUUGAGUCUAUGUAGCCGUCCUUGGUUUUUUUCCAUACGCUUGCAUCAUCUAGGUUCUGACCAUGGCACAAUCUUGUUUCAAAUUUGUUCUCAUACAUGUAUGCGCCGUGAUGAUUGAUGAGGCAUAUUGGUGGAAAUAAAUCUGAAGCAAAUAAGAGCUGCGAGCAACUAGUUGUGCCCCUGUUAACCUGCUCAAUAUUCGUGUUGUUUGCCUGCCGGUCAAAUGCCCGCUAUUCAGCAGACAGGUAUCUCCAUUUCUUAAAUCCCUUUCUCUAUUCAACGCCCAGUUGAUACGUGGUUAGGAAUCAGAUAAAUUUUACUCAUAUAAUUUCAUAUAUCUAAAAUACCAUGUCCAGAUAGCUUAGAAAGCAGCGUUAGAAAGGACCUGAUACACAUUACAAUUGUGGACUACUAAUAUACCUGAUGCAUUUCUUCAUGAUGGUCGGUUCCCUUUCUCCAUAUCUUACAUAUUUAGUUAUGUGAGUUCGGAAGCCAAAACUGAUUGAGAUCUUUUGUUCUUACUUGUAGAUGUUCUGUUAUUUAGAGUACUUCAGCUUCCAGUAUCUAUAUAUUAAUCAAAUUAUGGGUUAUUUUGAACCUUAUAGGCUUUUAUAUUAUGUUCAGUUAUGCUUCCAUGGGUUUUUCAUAUGUAUUAACAAAAGAACCAGACUACUAUUUUGUUUAUACUUGAAUCAAAGGACGUACGAUUAAUUUGCUAUUAUGGAAGGACUGAGUAGGCAGCUAGCUAAAUGAGAGGACAAUCAUGACAAGCAAACCAACACAUAAAUAGUAAUCCCACAAAUUUUUACAACUGCAUUCCAGUGAACUUUGGUAUGGAUAUGCAUUUUUAUCCUUGGGGGUACUUUGGAUUUUAAGUGGGAAUCAUAGUUCUUUUCUUCUUAACUUUGGUAUGGCAAGCAAUGCAGGUGAUAUUCCUAAUGUUCGCUGCUGAUGCUGAAAAAUUACUCUUGAAGCACUACAAGUGCCCUCUCUAUGGUGCAUCACUCACUGGAUCCAGAUGGGCAACCUUCCGCUUCAAAAUUAGAAGAGCGCGGUUUUUGCCUGCUAUCAUUGCUUACAAAGAUCAAGACAAAACUUAAAAGGUGAUCUGGGACAAGUGGAAGGAGGGAAGCCGAUGUAAGAUCGAUAAUAACUUGCCGACAAGAGCAUGUUCGUUCAGACGUUUCCUUACUAAAAGUUAUUUAUCUGUAGCAAGUGUUUCUAUUGGAACUAUCAAAUUCAAACUCCUAGGUGUCUAUGUCAGGAUGUAGGACUUUGUCCGGGCAGAGAUAUCCCCUCUGAUCUUUUCGUGAAUCCUUUCACACUUCUUUCUGUAAAGUGCUGCUGAUUUUAAUAAAAUCCCGUUGUUCAAAAAACAAUAUAAUUCAAGCUCCUAGAAGAGCUUGUUCAUUCA